rnacentral:rRNA from 1 species
AUUGAACGCUGGCGGCAUGCCUUACACAUGCAAGUCGAACGGCAGCACGGAGCUUGCUCUGGUGGCGAGUGGCGAACGGGUGAGUAAUAUAUCGGAACGUACCCUAGAGUGGGGGAUAACGUAGCGAAAGUUACGCUAAUACCGCAUACGAUCUAAGGAUGAAAGUGGGGGAUUCGCAAGAACCUCAUGCUCGUGGAGCGGCCGAUAUCUGAUUAGCUAGUUGGUAGGGUAAAAGCCUACCAAGGCAUCGAUCAGUAGCUGGUCUGAGAGGACGACCAGCCACACUGGAACUGAGACACGGUCCAGACUCCUACGGGAGGCAGCAGUGGGGAAUUUUGGACAAUGGGCGAAAGCCUGAUCCAGCAAUGCCGCAUGAGUGAAGAAGGCCUUCGGGUUGUAAAGCUCUUUUGUCAGGGAAGAAACGGUGAAAGCUAAUAUCUUUUGCUAAUGACGGUACCUGAAGAAUAAGCACCGGCUAACUACGUGCCAGCAGCCGCGGUAAUACGUAGGGUGCAAGCGUUAAUCGGAAUUACUGGGCGUAAAGCGUGCGCAGGCGGUUUUGUAAGUCUGAUGUGAAAUCCCCGGGCUCAACCUGGGAAUUGCAUUGGAGACUGCAAGGCUAGAAUCUGGCAGAGGGGGGUAGAAUUCCACGUGUAGCAGUGAAAUGCGUAGAUAUGUGGAGGAACACCGAUGGCGAAGGCAGCCCCCUGGGUCAAGAUUGACGCUCAUGCACGAAAGCGUGGGGAGCAAACAGGAUUAGAUACCCUGGUAGUCCACGCCCUAAACGAUGUCUACUAGUUGUCGGGUCUUAAUUGACUUGGUAACGCAGCUAACGCGUGAAGUAGACCACCUGGGGAGUACGGUCGCAAGAUUAAAACUCAAAGGAAUUGACGGGGACCCGCACAAGCGGUGGAUGAUGUGGAUUAAUUCGAUGCAACGCGAAAAACCUUACCUACCCUUGACAUGGCUGGAAUCCUUGAGAGAUCAGGGAGUGCUCGAAAGAGAACCAGUACACAGGUGCUGCAUGGCUGUCGUCAGCUCGUGUCGUGAGAUGUUGGGUUAAGUCCCGCAACGAGCGCAACCCUUGUCAUUAGUUGCUACGAAAGGGCACUCUAAUGAGACUGCCGGUGACAAACCGGAGGAAGGUGGGGAUGACGUCAAGUCCUCAUGGCCCUUAUGGGUAGGGCUUCACACGUCAUACAAUGGUACAUACAGAGCGCCGCCAACCCGCGAGGGGGAGCUAAUCGCAGAAAGUGUAUCGUAGUCCGGAUUGUAGUCUGCAACUCGACUGCAUGAAGUUGGAAUCGCUAGUAAUCGCGGAUCAGCAUGUCGCGGUGAAUAAGGUCCCGGGUCU